AGCCAUUUUAUGUAUUAUCAAAGAAGAGAUGCCCUCGAUAGAUUUCCUUCUUGGGGAUUGUAAGAUAGAAGGAAAGCUAGAGAUUGCAGCUAGUUUGAUGAUGGAAUGAUGUCGAAGAGUUCAAGAAGUGACGCCCUUGAUAGAUUUCCUACUUGUGGAAUGUAAGAUAGGAGGAAGGUAGAGAUCGUUGUUCGACGAUGGAA
rnacentral:lncRNA from 1 species